AGGAUUCCCCUAGUAACGGCGAGUGAAGCGGGAAAAGCUCAAAUUUGAAAGCUUGCAGCAAUGCACGCGUUGUAAUCUCGAGAAGUGUUUUCCGUGCUGGACCAUGGACAAGUUCCUUGGAAUAGGAUGUCAUAGAGGGUGAGAACCCCGUCUUUGCCAUGGACGCCCAGUGCUUUGUGAUACACUUUCAAAGAGUCGAGUUGUUUGGGAAUGCAGCUCAAAAUGGGUGGUAAAUUCCAUCUAAAGCUAAAUAUUGGGGAGAGACCGAUAGCAAACAAGUACCGUGAGGGAAAGAUGAAAAGCACUUUGGAAAGAGAGUUAAACAGUACGUGAAAUUGUCAAAAGGGAAGCGCUUCAAGUCAGACGUGUGGCGCGGUAUUCAGCCUUACGGUGUAUUUACCGCGUUACUGGCCAGCAUCGAUUUUGGGCGACGGAUAAGGGUGUGAGGAACGUGGCACCUCCGGGUGUGUUAUAGCCUUACACUGGAUACGUCGCCCGGGAUCGAGGAACGCAGCACACCCAUUCGGGCAGGUCUUCGGACACUUUUGUGCUUAGGAUGCUGGCGUAAUGGCUUGAAGCGGCCCGUCUUGAAACACGGACCAAGGAGUCUAACAUGUCUGCGAGUCUUUGGGUGGCAAACCCAUCGGCACAAUGAAAGUAAACGUAGGUGGGAUCCCGCAAGGGUGCACCAUCGACCGAUCUGUAUUCAUAACGGAUUUGAGUAAGAGCAUAUAUGUUGGGACCCGAGAGAUGGUGAACUAUGCCUGGACAAGGUGAAGCCAGGGGAAACCCUGGUGGAGGCCUGAAGACGUUCUGACGUGCAAAAUCGAUGUUCAGAUCUGGGUAUAGGGGCGAAAGACUAAUCGAACCAUC
rnacentral:rRNA from 1 species